GGGAGGCAGCAGUGGGGAAUAUUGCACAAUGGGCGCAAGCCUGAUGCAGCCAUGCCGCGUGUAUGAAGAAGGCCUUCGGGUUGUAAAGUACUUUCAGUCGUGAGGAAGGUGGUGUUGUUAAUAGCAGCAUCAUUUGACGUUAGCGACAGAAGAAGCACCGGCUAACUCCGUGCCAGCAGCCGCGGUAAUACGGAGGGUGCGAGCGUUAAUCGGAAUUACUGGGCGUAAAGCGCAUGCAGGUGGUUCGUUAAGUCAGAUGUGAAAGCCCGGGGCUCAACCUCGGAACUGCAUUUGAAACUGGCGGACUAGAGUACUGUAGAGGGGGGUAGAAUUUCAGGUGUAGCGGUGAAAUGCGUAGAGAUCUGAAGGAAUACCAGUGGCGAAGGCGGCCCCCUGGACAGAUACUGACACUCAGAUGCGAAAGCGUGGGGAGCAAACAGGAUUAGAUACCCUGGUAGUCCACGCCGUAAACGAUGUCUACUUGGAGGUUGUGGCCUUGAGCCGUGGCUUUCGGAGCUAACGCGUUAAGUAGACCGCCUGGGGAGUACGGUCGCAAGAUUAAAACUCAAAUGAAUUGACGGGGGCCCGCACAAGCGGUGGAGCAUGUGGUUUAAUUCGAUGCAACGCGAAGAACCUUACCUACUCUUGACAUCCAGAGAAGCCAGCGGAGACGCAGGUGUGCCUUCGGGAACUCUGAGACAGGUGCUGCAUGGCUGUCGUCAGCUCGUGUUGUGAAAUGUUGGGUUAAGUCCCGCAACGAGCGCAACCCUUAUCCUUGUUUGCCAGCGAGUAAUGUCGGGAACUCCAGGGAGACUGCCGGUGAUAAACCGGAGGAAGGUGGGGACGACG
rnacentral:rRNA from 1 species